rnacentral:tmRNA from 1 species
GGGGGCGAUCGGUUUCGACGGGUGGUCGAAGGCGGGCGCUGCGUGCCGAGGUCGUCACAUUCCUCGUUAAACAGGUGGCAGUUGGUAGUGAUAACUGCCGACGCUGACUACGCACUCGCUGCCUAGCUGAAACUAGCGUAGCGACGCCCGUCCGUGACGCCUUCUAGCGGGUCGCGGGCGUCAUCAGAAGGCUGGGCAUCCGUCGCCGUCCCUCCGGCGGGUGUCGAGAAAAAGAUGGGGCUGGGCCCGGGGACUCGCGGCGUCGAGACGAGCCGGGCCGACAUCGAUCGACGCCUACGCACGUAGACGCGUUCGUUGGACAUCAUUCGGACGCGGGUUCGAUUCCCGCCGCCUCCACCA